CAAUACGAGAGCGGCAGACGGGAGAGUAACACGUGGGAACGUACCCUUUGGUUCGGAACAACACAGGGAAACUUGUGCUAAUACCGAAUAAGCCCUUACGGGGAAAGAUUUAUCGCCGAAGGAUCGGCCCGCGUCUGAUUAGCUAGUUGGUGGGGUAAUGGCUCACCAAGGCGACGAUCAGUAGCUGGUCUGAGAGGAUGACCAGCCUCAUUGGGACUGAGACACGGCCCAAACUCCUACGGGAGGCAGCAGUGGGGAAUAUUGGACAAUGGGCGCAAGCCUGAUCCAGCCAUGCCGCGUGGAUGAUGAAGGCCUUAGGG
rnacentral:rRNA from 1 species